UGCUCCUAUCUCCCCCCCCAGAAGACCUGUUCCUGCUGUUUCAGACAAAUAGCAGCAAGCUACCUGUGACUGCUGGGAGCAGAUGAGACAGUCCAGCAUCUGAUCGAUACCUGGCAAGUGUGUGAGCCAGGGUCAGUCUGCACCAUGAUUCUGCUCCAUCUGACUGCGUGCGCUGUGCUCCACUGGAAGUGCGUCUGUAGUGUAGCAGGUCGCAGAUCAAAGCAGAUCCUCCAGCAACCCACUUCAACCAAACGCCCAGCGCCUCAACCACAGCCAGCCAGCCACUCACCAUCUGCAACACUCCUGAACUCCACCUGCACUGCCUCUUAUUAAAACCCUGUUUCUAAAUUUCA